rnacentral:rRNA from 1 species
UACGUAGGGUGCGAGCGUUGUCCGGAAUUACUGGGCGUAAAGAGCUCGUAGGUGGUUUGUCGCGUUGUUCGUGAAAUCUCACGGCUUAACUGUGAGCGUGCGGGCGAUACGGGCAGACUGGAGUACUGCAGGGGAGACUGGAAUUCCUGGUGUAGCGGUGGAAUGCGCAGAUAUCAGGAGGAACACCGGUGGCGAAGGCGGUUCUCUGGGCAUUACCUGACGCUGAGGAGCGAAAGUGUGGGGAGCGAACAGG